AGUUUGAUCCUGGCUCAGAAUGAACGCUGGCGGCGUGCCUAACACAUGCAAGUCGGAUGUGCCCGCAAGGGUGCAUGGCAGACGGGUGAGUAACGCGUGGGGAACCUACCUCUUUGUGGGGAAUAACGUUCCGAAAGGAAUGGUAAUACCGCAUGAGACCUUCGGCUGGGAUGCUGGAGGUGAAACCCGGGGACCGUAAGGCCUGGGGCAAGGAGAGGGUCCUGCGUCUGAUUAGCUAGUUGGCGGGGUAAUGGCCCACCAAGGCGACGAUCAGUAGCCGGCCUGAGAGGGUGAUCGGCCACACUGGAACUGAGACACGGUCCAGACUCCUACGGGAGGCAGCAGUGGGGAAUUUUGCGCAAUGGACGAAAGUCUGACGCAGCAACGCCGCGUGGGUGAUGAAGGUCUUCGGAUUGUAAAACCCUGUCGUCAGGGACGAAGGUUGGGGCUUUAAUAGAGUUUCAACUUGACGGUACCUGGAGAGGAAGCCCCGGCUAACUCUGUGCCAGCAGCCGCGGUAAUACAGAGGGGGCAAGCGUUAUUCGGAAUUACUGGGCGUAAAGGGCGCGUAGGCGGUUCUUUAAGUCGGAUGUGCAAUCCCCGAGCUCAACUUGGGAACUGCAUCCGAAACUGGGGAGCUAGAGUGCUGGAGAGGGUGGUGGAAUUCCACGUGUAGCGGUGAAAUGCGUAGAGAUGUGGAGGAACACCAGUGGCGAAGGCGACUCUCUGGUCUGUAACUGACGCUGAGGAGCGAAAGCGUGGGGAGCGAACAGGAUUAGAUACCCUGGUAGUCCACGCCGUAAACGUUGGGAACUAGGUGUGGGUCUCAUUCCACGAGAUCCGUGCCGCAGCUAACGCAUUAAGUUCCCCGCCUGGGGAGUACGGCCGCAAGGCUAAAACUCAAAGGAAUUGACGGGGGCCCG
rnacentral:rRNA from 1 species